UUCUUGCCCGUGACCGUGAUCGAGCUCCUUAAAUUCCCCCCUCCCACCAUCUAUCCUCUCCGCCUCCCCUACCUCGCCACAGUUCCACACCCACACCUGCCACGUCCCUCCAGCUUCCGCACUCGCUGCGAAAUCCGGAAUGGGCACGCCACGAGCACGAUUGUUGGCCCGCAUUGCCGUGGCGGCCGUCGUGCUCCUCGCGCCGACGACGACGUGCGGGGUGGCCGGGCACUCGCGGGCGCUGCGGCCCGGCGGCGGGCGCGGCCAGCAGCAGCCGUCGUCGCUGUUCCCGGCGAACGCGACGCGCGCGGAGGCGAUCGAGCGGCAGUUCGUGGAGUGGGUGCGGUACGUGGGCGGGCUCCGGCACAGCACGUUCCAGCACGCGGUCGCCCGCGCGUCCCCCUCCUACUCGCUCGUGGUGGACAAGGACCCCGCGCUCGGCGACUUCACGACCAUCCAGGCCGCCGUCGACUCGCUCCCGGCCAUCAACCUCGUCCGCGUCGUCAUCAGGGUCAACGCCGGCACCUACACGGAGAAGGUGACCGUCUCGGCGAUGCGCGCGUUCAUCACCCUGGAGGGCGCCGGCGCGGACAAGACGGUCGUGCAGUGGGGCGACACCGCGGACUCGCCGACCGGGCCCAAGGGCCGGCCCCUCGGCACGUUCAACUCGGCGUCCUUCGCCGUGAACGCGCAGUACUUCCUGGCAAGGAACAUCACUUUCAAGUUCUGGCGUUGGCGCGCGGGACAGAACACGUCGCCGGUGCCGAAGCCUGGGGCGGCGGGGAAGCAGGCGGUGGCGCUGCGGGUGUCGGCGGACAACGCGGCGUUCGUGGGGUGCAGGUUCCUGGGCGCGCAGGACACGCUGUACGACCACUCGGGCCGCCACUACUACAAGGACUGCUACAUCCAAGGGUCCGUGGACUUCAUCUUCGGCAACGCGCUGUCGCUGUACGAGGACUGCCACGUGCACGCGAUCGCGCGGGACUACGGGGCGCUGACGGCGCAGAACCGGCAGAGCAUGCUGGAGGACACGGGGUUCUCGUUCGUCAACUGCCGGGUGACGGGGUCCGGCGCGCUCUACCUGGGCCGCGCCUGGGGCACCUUCUCCCGCGUCGUCUUCGCCUACACCCACAUGGACGACAUCAUCGUCCCCAACGGGUGGUUCAACUGGGGCGACCCCAACCGCGAGCUGUACGUCGUCCCCAUCUAUCCAUCCUCUGCUGUUGCUUGCGCCAUUGCCUUCUGAUGGGGCUAGCGGACGCCAUGCCAGGCGUGCAAAAGCGCACACAAAGGGAGGGAACACUCACCGCACCGGCUCCAUUCCAUUCCAUUCCACUUCCGGACGGUGUUCUACGGGCAGUACAAGUGCACGGGCCCGGGCGCGACCUAUGCCGGCCGGGUGGCGUGGUCGCACGAGCUCACCGACGACGAGGCCAAGCCCUUCAUCUCGCUCAGCUUCAUCGAUGGCACCGAGUGGGUCAGGCUGUAGCUGUAAAUCUCGCAGCCGCUCACGCCACCACGCCGCACACUGUAAAGAAACAGAGCAAGACAGUAUAUACAGAUUUUAUACUUUCCGUUCC